CUUUGUAGAAUCCCAUGGAACCUUCCAGACUUUCUGAGAACUACAUUUUCCUGGAACUUCCUAGAGUGUUGUCAGCCAUGUCUUCCUGGAGGGCAUAAGAGUAAGGA